rnacentral:rRNA from 1 species
CCCUUAGAUGUUCUGGGCCGCACGCGCGCUACACUGACGAAUGCAACGAGCUUAUAACCUUGGCCGAAAGGUCUGGGUAAUCUCCAAAUUUCGUCGUGAUGGGGAUAGAUUAUUGCAAUUAUUAAUCUUCAACGAGGAAUGCCUAGUAAGCGCAAGUCAUCAGCUUGCGUUGAUUACGUCCCUGCCCUUUGUACACACCGCCCGUCGCUCCUACCGAUUGAAUGGUCCAGUGAAGCGUUCGGACCGUGGCCUUUGGACGGUUCGCCGUCUGUUGGCUGCGGGAAGUUCGUUAAACCUUAUCAUUUAGAGGAAGGAGAANUCGUANCA